UCCAUCCCCUACAAACUUUUGAUUCCCCGCAUUCACACAUGCACACAAGCAUAUAAGUACAUACAUAAACAUACCAACAACUGUGAUACUCCCAUACUUGAUAUUACAUAGUAUAUACUGGGGUCCAUGGAUUUGCUAGAGAGAGAAAGAGAGAGAAAGGAGAGGAAGGAGAGAGAGAAGAAAGAGAGGAGAGAUACUUUACCAUCUCUCUUAGAUGGGGAAGGAGAAGCCAUGGGUUCAUGGUCAGUGGCUGGAACGGGUGAACAAUCAGCAAAGGUGACCAAUUGAUGAGAAAAAAACCAAAGAAAAUCAUCAAACAAGGAAUUUACUUGGCUUUAUUUUGGGCAUUGGGCCAUUCAUUGGCGGCCACAAUUUCCAAGG
rnacentral:lncRNA from 1 species